AAACUCAAAUGUUCUUCGACUUUAAACAACCCCUAUUUUAUUCACAUUUUCUCUAAUUUUAAUUCAUUGAUUUUGAUUUCCCGAAAGAUCAAAUCUCGAUUCUAAUCUUGAAAUGGUGAGGGAGCGAGUACCUGAUUGGCUCAACAGUUCGCUCUGGUCCACUACUCCCGCCGACGAUCGCCUCCACCGCUACUCUCCUUCUCCCAACACGGCUUCCGCCGCCGUUUCCGAGCCAACUCUUCAGCCUCCGGCUCCAGUGGCACCUCCUCCCGUCUCAGAAGCAGCCUCGAAACCUCAUUCCACGUCUAGUCCGAAAUCCGAAACCAGAGAUCCAGUUAAUCAAAAUAGUAACACCAAUAGCGGUGGUAAUGGUCAAAACGGCGGCUCUUCUGGCGCUUCCCCAGAUGAUAUCUCUCGUCAGGCUCAGCUCUUAUCCGAGUUGUCUAAGAAGGUUAUGAAUAUGUGGGAAUUGCGGAGGAUUGCGUCGCAGGGGAUUCCUGAUGGUGCAGGAAUUAGAUCUACUGUGUGGAAGUUAUUGUUAGGGUAUUUACCACCUGAACGUGGGCAGUGGUCGUCUGAAUUAGCUAAGAAAAGGUCCCAGUACAGGUAUUUUAAGGAAGAACUCUUGAUGAAUCCUUCAGAAAUCACAAGGAGGCUGGAGAAGUCUGUGGCUUGUGACAAUGAUGAAUCAAAAUCUGAGAGCAGGGGUCUGCUAUCAAGAUCACAAAUAACUCAUGGAGAGCAUCCUUUGAGCCUUGGGAAAAGCAGUGUCUGGAAUCAAUUCUUCCAGGACUCGGAAAUCAUAGAACAGAUUGACCGUGAUGUCAUGCGCACUCAUCCAGGCAUGCACUUUUUCUCUGGGGACUCACAGCUUGCAAAAUCUAACCAGGAUGCAAUGAGAAACAUAUUAAUUGUUUUUGCCAAGUUAAAUCCAGGUAUAAGAUAUGUUCAAGGGAUGAAUGAAAUCUUGGCACCUCUAUUUUAUGUAUUCAAGAAUGACCCUGAUGUGGAAAUGGCGGCUGCUGCCGAAGCUGAUACAUUCUUUUGUUUUGUUGAGUUAUUGAGCGGAUUCCGUGAUCAUUUCUGCCAGCAACUUGACAACAGCAUUGUGGGAAUUCGUUCCACAAUCUCUAGGUUGUCACAGCUUCUGAAGGAACAUGAUGAAGAGCUUUGGCGGCAUCUAGAGGUCACAACUAAAGUCAAUCCCCAGUUUUACGCAUUUCGGUGGAUCACUCUGCUCUUGACACAGGAAUUCAAUUUUGCGGAUAGCCUUCACAUAUGGGACACGCUUCUUAGUGACCCGGAAGGUCCUCUGGAGACAUUGCUUCUGGUAUGCUGUGCGAUGUUGAUUCUCAUCCGCAGGCGCUUGCUAGCCGGGGAUUUCACUUCCAAUCUUAAGCUUCUCCAAAACUAUCCCUCAGCAAACAUCGGCCAUUUGUUGUAUGUCGCGAACAAGUUGCGCUCACAAGCCAUAGGCUAAAAAAAGCUUUAAGUACCCCCACAUAUUCAUGUCUUUUUUUUUAUCAUCGGUCCCUCCGUUUAAACCCUUUUGUUCUUUGAUUCGAGAGAGAAAAGGAAAAGAAUCGAUGCUUGUAAAGUAAAUUGGUGGGUGUAAAUUGGUUGGAAGUAACAGCUAACACGCAGGCAGAGGAGGAUAACAUUUCUGUUUAUAUUUCAUCAAGAGUUGGUGUUUUAGUGGAUUAGUGGAAAGAGUUAUGUAGCAGUUGUCUUA